rnacentral:rRNA from 1 species
UUGAUCCUGGCUCACGAUGAAGGCGUACGGUCUGCUUAACACAUGCAAGUCGAACGGGCUCUUCGGAGCUAGUGGCGGACGGGUGAGUAACGCGUGAGAAUCUGCCUUCAGGAGGGGGAUAACGACUGGAAACGGUCGCUAAUACCCCAUAUGCCUCCGGGUGAAAAGUAAUUCGCCUGAAGAUGAGCUCGCGUCAGAUUAGCUAGUUGGUGGGGUAAGAGCCUACCAAGGCGACGAUCUGUAGCUGGUCUGAGAGGAUGAUCAGCCACACUGGGACUGAGACACGGCCCAGACUCCUACGGGAGGCAGCAGUGGGGAAUUUUCCGCAAUGGGCGCAAGCCUGACGGAGCAAGACCGCGUGGGGGAUGACGGCCUAAUGGUUGUAAACCCCUUUUCUCUGGGAAGAAGACUGACGGUACCAGAGGAAUCAGCCUCGGCUAACUCCGUGCCAGCAGCCGCGGUAAUACGGAGGAGGCAAGCGUUAUCCGGAAUUAUUGGGCGUAAAGCGUCCGUAGGUGGUUAUUCAAGUCUGCUGUCAAAGCGUGGGGCUUAACUCCAUAGAGGCAGUGGAAGCUGAGUGACUAGAGUGCGGUAGGGGUCGAGGGAAUUCCCAGUGUAGCGGUGAAAUGCGUAGAUAUUGGGAAGAACACCAGUGGCGAAAGCGCUCGACUGGGCCUGCACUGACACUGAGGGACGAAAGCUAGGGGAGCGAAAGGGAUUAGAUACCCCUGUAGUCCUAGCCGUAAACGAUGGAUACUAGGUGUUGCUCGUCAUCGACCCGAGCAGUGCCGUAGCCAACGCGUUAAGUAUCCCGCCUGGGGGAGUACGCUCGCAAGAGUUGAAACUCAAAGGGAUUGACGGGGGGCCCGCACAAGCGGUGGAGUAUGUGGUUUAAUUCGAUGCAACGCGAAGAACCUUACCAGGGGCUUGACAUGUCCGGAAC